rnacentral:rRNA from 1 species
AAAGAAACCAACAGGGAUUGCCUCAGUAACGGCGAGUGAAGCGGCAAGAGCUCAAAUUUGAAAGCUGGGCCUUUCAGGUCCCGCAUUGUAAUUUGCAGAGGAUGCUUCGGGAGUGGUCCCCAUCUAAGUGCUCUGGAACGGGCCGUCAUAGAGGGUGAGAAUCCCGUAUGGGAUGGGGUGUCCACGCCCGUGUGAAGCUCCUUCGACGAGUCGAGUUGUUUGGGAAUGCAGCUCUAAAUGGGUGGUAAAUUUCAUCUAAAGCUAAAUAUUGACCGGAGACCGAUAGCGCACAAGUAGAGUGAUCGAAAGAUGAAAAGCACUUUGAAAAGAGAGUUAAAAAGCACGUGAAAUUGUUGAAAGGGAAGCGUUUGCGACCAGACUCGCCUCUAGGGUUCAACGUGUAUUCGAACACGUCUACUUCCCUUGGGGCGGGCCAGCGUCGGUUUGAGCGGCCGGUAAAAGGCUCUCGGAAUGUAACGCCUCUCGGGGCGUCUUAUAGCCGAGGGUGCCAUGCGGCCAGCUCAGACCGAGGAACGCGCUUCGGCUCGGACGCUGGCAUAAUGGUCGUAAACGAC